UACCGUGAAACUGCGAAUGGCUCAUUAAAUCAGUUAUCGUUUAUUUGAUAGUACCUUACUACUUGGAUAACCGUGGUAAUUCUAGAGCUAAUACAUGCUGAAAACCCCGACUUCGGGAGGGGUGUAUUUAUUAGAUAAAAAACCAAUGCCCUUCGGGGCUCCUUGGUGAUUCAUAAUAACUUAACAGAUCGCAUGGCCUUGCGCCGGCGACGGUUCAUUCAAAUUUCUGCCCUAUCAACUUUCGAUGGUAAGGUAUUGGCUUACCAUGGUUUCAACGGGUAACGGGGAAUUAGGGUUCGAUUCCGGAGAGGGAGCCUGAGAAACGGCUACCACAUCCAAGGAAGGCAGCAGGCGCGCAAAUUACCCAAUCCCGACACGGGGAGGUAGUGACAAUAAAUACUGAUACAGGGCUCUUUUGGGUCUUGUAAUCGGAAUGAGUACAAUUUAAACCUCUUAACGAGGAACAAUUGGAGGGCAAGUCUGGUGCCAGCAGCCGCGGUAAUUCCAGCUCCAAUAGCGUAUAUUAAAGUUGUUGCAGUUAAAAAGCUCGUAGUUGAAUCUUGGGCCUGGCUGGCCGGUCCGCCUCACCGCGUGCACUGGUCCGGCCGGGCCUUUCCUUCUGGAGAGCCCCAUGCCCUUCACUGGGUGUGCGGGGGAACCAGGACUUUUACUUUGAAAAAAUUAGAGUGUUCAAAGCAGGCCUUUGCUCGAAUACGUUAGCAUGGAAUAAUAGAAUAGGACGUGCGAUCCUAUUUUGUUGGUUUCUAGGACCGCCGUAAUGAUUAAUAGGGACAGUCGGGGGCAUCAGUAUUCAAUUGUCAGAGGUGAAAUUCUUGGAUUUAUUGAAGACUAACUACUGCGAAAGCAUUUGCCAAGGAUGUUUUCAUUAAUCAGUGAACGAAAGUUAGGGGAUCGAAGACGAUCAGAUACCGUCGUAGUCUUAACCGUAAACUAUGCCGACUAGGGAUCGGGCGGUGUUCCUUUGUUGACCCGCUCGGCACCUUUCGAGAAAUCGGCAUCUG
rnacentral:rRNA from 1 species